rnacentral:tRNA from 1 species
AGCGGGGUAGAGCAUUGGUAGCUCGUCAGGCUCAUAACCUGGAGGCAGGAGGUUCGAUUCCUUCCCCCGCGACCA